rnacentral:piRNA from 1 species
UUGUUUGUGCUAUAACACUUCCACCUCUCU